UCAGCGCGAGCUGAGCGACGGUGGCGUUUACGCGCAAAAGUUGAACCAGUCCGUUACACGGUGAGGUUUUGGGCGGACGGUCAGUUAAGCUUCACGGGACGAGACGUCACGUUCAGAGAGUCCUCAGCGUGUGUCCAGCGGGAACAAACAGAACAGCAGCAGCAUUUAAAUCGAACACACGUAUUUCACUCCAGUCCAUAAACACGCACGAGCUGCUCGUUGCACCGUUGAACCAAGAAAAGCUCGUCGUCAAACCGUCCAAAAACGUUGUUUCCGCUCCGAGGAGUCGAUGAACGCGGGUUCCGCAGCACGAACACUGAUGGAGGCAGACAAAGCUCUAAGGGUCCCAACCAGGAAGAACACGAGCAGAGGGAACGGGAGGAGGAGGAGGACACAAGAGAUGGUAUGGUGCAAUUUACCCUGUAUAGAAGCAUCCCAUUUAUCAAAAAAGGCAAAAACCAAAGCCAGAGUCCAGACCGCAGCACAGAGCAGCAGCGACAUCUUGACUGUUCGUCUGGUUCGGUACCACAGCGGCCAGACGAUGACCAGAUACCUGGAACACAGAGACAGCAGACGACGGUCACCACCAUCAUCCAUGAUGAAAUGAUGGACACACGUUCUACAGGAAGUUACCUUUCCAGAGCGAUGCACAGCAUGAAGUACACACUGGCUGAAACACCGAAGACGUACAUGCAUUCCCCAAUAAUAGUGACAGUUUCUUGUCCUGUCAGCACAAUGAUCAUGGAGCAGAGCUGAAUGACGUCAGAAACCAGGAGGUUGAUGACGAAGAUCGGAGCAACGUUGUCUUUCUUCACCUGCAGAUUUAAUGUUGUUUAUGUUGCAUUAACUGGACUUUUAUUUCAGACAUGACUUCGUUUUAUUAUCAGUCAGUUCUAACUUGUUCAGGAUGAAAACAACAGCUCCAGCUCAGUGUCACCACUUACUGGACUUAAGGGUCUUUAACAGUGAACUGAGCAACUGUCAACAUGAGAAAGUAAAUGACAUAACAAACGAACCAGAGAGGAAACAGCAAAGAUGGCGAUGGGCGUCAGGACGAGACCGAUGGUGAACAUCAGCCAUGUUGAAACCUUUAGUAUAUUAUCAUAAAGCCAUCUUUCACCAUCGUAGGUGAUUGCAACUUCUGUUCCAUUAUAAACCUCAUAGAUGUUGUCAGCAGUGUCCAUCAUUGUGUCGUUUAUGUUGCUCUGAUUCAUUCUUCACUGAGAAACUGGAAAAGAACAGAGUUUAAUAAAGUGUCAGUAAAGUUC